AUGCUCGAUCGCUUCGACAUCGACAGCCAUGCGGUUUCACAAUUCUUUGGGUGGCUCACGAAUUUUUCAGUUCAGUUUAGCUUGAGGAGGAGGCAGAAGCUUCUGAAUCCAGCACCAAUGGUAUGUACUGAAUUUGUGGAGGAAGAGCAACUUUUCUUACAGAGCCAUUGCAGUAUCCCUGAAAAAGAUUUAGCUCAUGAUUCAGCAGUGUGGGGCGCCUCGACAUCGACAGUCAUGUGGAUUCAUCCCUGUUCCAAUAGAAAAAAGAUAGGAAAGAGAGUUUUUAUUUGCCAAUACAAUGAGCAUAUGCCGUGCCCUUUUUAUUGCCGUACACUUGACAGGUCAAACGAAACACACAGAUGA
rnacentral:rRNA from 1 species